rnacentral:rRNA from 1 species
CAGUAGCCGCGGGAAUACGGAGGGGGCUAGCGUUGUUCGGAAUUACUGGGCGUAAAGCGCACGUAGGCGGCUUGGUAAGUUAGAGGUGAAAGCCCGGAGCUCAACUCCGGAAUUGCCUUUAAGACUGCCGAGCUAGUAGGUGAGAGAGGUAAGUGGAAUUCCGAGUGUAGAGGUGAGAUUCGUAGAUAUUCGGAAGAACACCAGUGGCGAAGGCGGCUUACUGGCUCAUUCUAGACGCUGAGGUGCGAAAGCGUGGGGAGCAAACAGGAUUAGAUACCCCCGUAGUCCCUGUCUCUUAUAU